rnacentral:lncRNA from 1 species
AAAAAAUGCAAAUUUUGAUGAUCGUAGUGUGAUCGUGUAGAUCGCAGUAAGGUCGUAUCACGGUCGUGGUGAGGUCUUCAAGAUUGUGAAGAGCGUGGCCAACUUUGAACAUGUUCAAAACAAUCGUGGUGCGGUCGUGGUGAAAUCAGGUCGUAGUAGAAGCGUAGUGAGAGCGCACCUAGAUCGUAGUAAGAUCGCAAAGGUCGCUGUACAAUCGUAGCGAGAGCAUAGCGAAAGCGUGAUUCUAUUCGGAGAGACUGCGCUACGAUCGCACAGCGACGUUAUCACGACCUCACUACGACCAUCACGUUCUCACUGCGACCCAACUACGCUUCCACUACGACUAUACCACGCUGUUCACGACUAUUGUAC